rnacentral:rRNA from 1 species
UACGAAGGGGGCUAGCGUUGUUCGGAAUUACUGGGCGUAAAGCGCACGUAGGCGGAUUUGUAAGUCAGGGGUGAAAUCCCGGGGCUCAACCUCGGAACUGCCUUUGAUACUGCAAGUCUCGAGUCCGAUAGAGGUGAGUGGAAUUCCUAGUGUAGAGGUGAAAUUCGUAGAUAUUAGGAAGAACACCAGUGGCGAAAGCGGCUCACUGGAUCGGUACUGACGCUGAGGUGCGAAAGCGUGGGGAGCAAACAGG